AUGAAGAUAUUGUCAAAUCCAAAGCUUAAAAAAGAGUAUGAUUCUAAUUUAUUGGGUUUGGAUGAUUUGAGAAGAAGUAAGUGGAUGAAACAAAUUGUUGAAUUGAAUAGAAGAUCUCAUGCACGUGAGAGGGGUAUAUCAUCAUCAUGGGGUUGUAGAAUCAGAGCCAAGAACAAUAUCAACAAACAUCGUCAUAAUAGCUAG